GACGAACGCUGGCGGCGUGCUUAACACAUGCAAGUCGUACGGUAAGGCCCUUUCGGGGGUACACGAGUGGCGAACGGGUGAGUAACACGUGAGUAACCUGCCCACAACUUUGGGAUAACGCUAGGAAACUGGUGCUAAUACUGGAUAUGUGCUCCUGCUGCAUGGUGGGGGUUGGAAAGCUCCGGCGGUUGUGGAUGGACUCGCGGCCUAUCAGCUUGUUGGUGGGGUAGUGGCCUACCAAGGCGGCGACGGGUAGCCGGCCUGAGAGGGUGACCGGCCACAUUGGGACUGAGAUACGGCCCAGACUCCUACGGGAGGCAGCAGUGGGGAAUAUUGCACAAUGGGCGCGAGCCUGAUGCAGCAACGCCGCGUGCGGGAUGACGGCCUUCGGGUUGUAAACCGCUUUCAGCAGGGACGAAGCUUUUUGUGACGGUACCUGCAGAAGAAGCACCGGCUAACUACGUG
rnacentral:rRNA from 1 species